rnacentral:rRNA from 1 species
AGCGAACGCUGGCGGCAGGCCUAACACAUGCAAGUCGAACGAACCCUUCGGGGUUAGUGGCGGACGGGUGAGUAACACGUGGGAACGUGCCUUUAGGUUCGGAAUAACAGUUAGAAAUGACUGCUAAUACCGGAUGAUGUCGUAAGACCAAAGAUUUAUCGCCCAAGGAUGAGCCCGCGUAGGAUUAGCUAGUUGGUGAGGUAAAAGCUCACCAAGGCGACGAUCCUUAGCUGGUCUGAGAGGAUGAUCAGCCACACUGGGACUGAGACACGGCCCAGACUCCUACGGGAGGCAGCAGUGGGGAAUAUUGGACAAUGGGCGAAAGCCUGAUCCAGCAAUGCCGCGUGAGUGAUGAAGGCCUUAGGGUUGUAAAGCUCUUUUACCCGGGAUGAUAAUGACAGUACCGGGAGAAUAAGCUCCGGCUAACUUCGUGCCAGCCGCCGCUGUAAUAC